UCACACUCCACAAGUGACCCCAGGGCACCUCAGCAGCUGCCUGGGGCCGAGGCGUGAGUCUCCAGACACGGGCUGGCAGCCCUGCGCUGGGACUAAAGGAGCAGUGGAGCUCACAAGCCAGGAGGCUGCCUGGAGGAGGUAAAAACUGACGGGCCAGCUUAAUCUGGAUUCCAGAUAAAUGAACACCUUUUCUGGUGAAAUAUCUGAUGUGUGAUAUUGUGGGUAUCAAAUAUUGCAUGGGGCCAUAAUGAUGCCAAUCAGUAAACACCACAGGCAGCCGUGGAACACAGCAGAGAAGCCACAGCAUUCUAGAGUCUGAAGCAGGAGGAGGAAGAGGCCAGUGGGGGCACACAGCAAGACCCCGUCUCUAAAAAGCAAACAGAAGACUGAAGGGCUGGGUGUGGUGGCGCACGGUCUUUAAUCCCGGCAGAGGCAGAGGUCAGGAGAAAUGGCCACCACUGGAGGGGUGAAGUGGAGGGGGAGGUGUCUCCAAGCAGGUGUGACAGGGGAGACCCUCUCCAUCGUGACAUCUGUGACACACCUACAGAAUGCACCAGAUUGCUGGCCCUUGGGCUGGGUGCGCAGCUUAGUGGUCAAGACCUUGCUGAGGAUACUGGAGGUCAAACCCCAGCGAGGAAGAAGCUAGGAAGUAGGAAGACCAAGGCCAGUCUGAGCUGCCCAAGGAAUUUUUGGGCUAAGGCUAGCCUGGGGCAACAUAACAUGUUUCAGGUAAGCAUGGGCUACAUAAUAAGGCCCUGUCUAAAACAAAACAGCAAAGCAGACAGACAUGGUAGCCUUCCUCCUCAGAGCCUCUGAAGCAGGCUGGGCCACAUACAAUAGAGCCCAUUGUUCAGAUUUACCACGGGUUAGGACACUGGACUUCAGCUCGCUCCCUCCCCUCCUCUGACCUUCCCCCUGCCCUUCCCCCCUCUCCCCCACCCCACCCCGUGACCUUCCCAUUAUAGGGUCACUAUAAGCACUACCCUAACUAUGCCCCCCCAGAGGACAGUCUCAUAUUAGCCCUGGAUGACCUCACACUCACUGGCUAUACAACCAAGGGUGACCUUGAACCCCUGAUCCUCUGGUCUCUACCUCCUGAGAGCUGGACUUACGGGCAUGCAUCCCCGCACUCCAUUUUUAUAGUGAUAUAGAGCUCAAACCCAGGGCUUCAUGCAUGCUAGACAAGUACUCUACCAACUGAGCUACAUCCCCGGCCCCAACUACAUCAUCUUUUCCUUGUUAUUUGCAUGUUGCCGAAGUCUUGCACACAUAUAUGUAUAAAUACAUAUAUCUACACACAUAUAUAGUUUUUUCAGUGUAUAACUAAGGAUUUUGACAAAUUCAUAGAGCUAUGUAACCACUACAAUAAUCCAAUUAUAGAACACUUCCUUCACCGAAGAGACACCCACCUCUGCUGCUCAGUAGUGAACCCCCUCUUCUCACAACAGCACCGCAGCAGCCCACCUGUUUCCUGUCCAGCAGAUUUUUUUUCCUCCUGAAUGUCCCAUAAAUGCAAUCUUGGAGUACAGAUUUUGCAUUUCGCUUCUUUCACUUGACAUGAUGAAUUUGGGGUGCUGUCAUGUUGAUGAGCAUGUUAAUAGUUUCUCCUCUGUUUCUUUGCUCAGUAAUGGUCCCUUGUGUAGACAAAUCAUUGUGUGUCUACCCACCAAGAAAGAAGCAUUUGAAUUGAUCCAGUCUUUGAUGAUAAUGAAAAAUGCUGAACUCCUCAGUGGGCAGGUUUUGGUGUGGAUGGAAGCGUCCAAUCUCUCUUGGGUCCUUCUGUAGCUUUGAGUAAUGUCCCACUGUCCUUUAGACCAUCGGGGCUCUGCAUACCAGCCUGGGCUGCCCACCACCACUACUUAUCCCUGAACUCUCCCAUGCACAGGAGAUGGGGGAGGGGAUCCUAUAGUCCAGACUUCCUCACACAGGCACACACAACAAAGGGGUUCUUCACUUUGUCCAAACGGAAGAAAUUUUGUUGCACCCUCUUUGUGUGUGUGUGUGUGUGUGUGUGUGUGUGUGUGUGUGUGUGUGUGUGUGUGUGUGCAGGUGCAUGCCCACAUGCACGUACAGAGGUCAGAGGGGGGUGUCAGGUGUCCUACUCAGUCACGCUCCACCUUAUUUCUUUGAGACAGGGUCUCUCGCUGAACCUGGAGCUAGGCUGGCAGCAGGACACCCCAGCUAUCCCCCAUCUACCUCCUCCACAGACAUUACAGCAAAAGCUCUUGCCUGCUGAGCCACAUCCCCAGCCCCCGCUGCAGCUUCUUCAUUUAGAAAGGACUCCAGCACCGGACCCCAGCAUGCAUCUCAGUUUGUGUGUUCCCAGUGGAGAAGCCAAGCGGGAAAGAGAGGCACAGCUAAUCGCACGUCACACAAGGUCACACAAGUAUCGAGUCUGAGGCCCCAGUGUGAGCCCCAUUGAAAUGGGAAAGCGGGAGAGCGACCCCAAGGAAGCUGCCAAGAGGACGGCUUCCUGCCUGCGGUUCCAGUCAUCCCACCUGCUGCCUCCUCUCCACCACCAUGGACUCUUAACUCUCUGGGACCGUAAGUUCAAAUAAACUCUUCCUUCUAUAAGUUGCCUUGGUCAUGGUGUUUUAUCACAGCAACGGAAAGUAUUGAUGCAGUAGCAGAAGAAAGUCCUGCUCGGAGCCCUCCCUGGCAAUGAGACCCAACCCUGACCUGCCAUCUUUCCUUCCUCAAGACUGACUGUGACUUCCUCAGAUGCCAGGAGGGCAGGGCCUGCCUGGAUUUCUCUGUCUCUACCUCUCGGUCCGGUCCAGUCUCAGGGUGAGGAUGGAGGUGGAGGAAGAGUUUGGCCUUUCCCAGUCCACCCCGCCCCGCCCCCUGGGGCUCCUGGCAUUACUGGGAAAUUCGUGGAGGGGAAGGACAAAAAAAUAAGAGAGGGUGGAGUGGUCAGCAUAGUUCCACGAUGAAAAGCAGUCUCUAAGUCACAGAAACAAAUGAAAAGCAAAUAUCAGUCUCACUAAAUCAUGACUCCAGGGUCCUGGGUUCGGGGCAGGGUCAGCGAGAGGGCAGGUGUGGGGGGAGGGAAGCGGGCGAAUGAGCUAAAUCUUCCAUGGAGGGAAGCAAGGACUUGCUUGUGCGGCUUGGGAGCGAUUAGAUGUAGUUGUUCAUGUCUGUUUUUGUGCUAAUGGAGUUGGAGCGCAGGGCUGAGAGCAUGCUAGAGGUGAGUGGCAUAGUUCUUGCCUUCUCCAAUGGGCUACAUGCCCAGCUCUUGAUAGCUGGGUUUUGCUUUGAGACAAGGUCUCAUGGUGCAGCCCUAGCUAGCCUGGAACUCACCAUGUAAACCAGGCUGGGGUCGAACUCAUAGAGAUC